rnacentral:rRNA from 1 species
GACGAGCGCUGGCGGCGUGCUUAACACAUGCAAGUCGAACGGAAAGGCCCUGCUUUUGUGGGGUGCUCGAGUGGCGAGCGGGGGAGUAACACGUGAGUAACCUGCCCUUGACUUUGGGAUAACUUCAGGAAACUGGGGCUAAUACCGGAUAGGAGCUCCUGCUGCAUGGUGGGGGUUGGAAAGUUUCGGCGGUUGGGGAUGGACUCGCGGCUUAUCAGCUUGUUGGUGGGGUAGUGGCUUACCAAGGCUUUGACGGGUAGCCGGCCUGAGAGGGUGACCGGCCACAUUGGGACUGAGAUACGGCCCAGACUCCUACGGGAGGCAGCAGUGGGGAAUAUUGCACAAUGGGCGGAAGCCUGAUGCAGCAACGCCGCGUGCGGGAUGACGGCCUUCGGGUUGUAAACCGCUUUCGCCUGUGACGAAGCGUGAGUGACGGUAAUGGGUAAAGAAGCACCGGCUAACUACGUG